GGGGAUGUAGUUCAGUGGUAGAGGGCUUGACUUACAUGUGCAAGGUCCUGGGUUCAAUUCCUAGUACCCCCC
rnacentral:tRNA from 1 species